AUACGGGUUCUCCUGCAAUCAGUACCAACAAGUGGGCCUCCUGAAUUGCGCCGUCUUCCACUCCCUAUCCUGCUCCCCUUCAUCCUCUCCGCACUUCCGUCUCACUCCAACAUCGCGCUCCCCUUCAAAUUGUUUUCGAGUUUGAAGCAGCUCCUCUCUGAUGCCUUCUGGGCUCUCUCAUGCUUAUCUUUUUUUUUAGAUAAGGGAGAUGUUCCAGCCUCUGCAUGCGCACACACUACUCUCAUGCUUAUCUGACGGAACUGCUAAGGUCAAAGCUGCCAGUGAAUCUAGAGUGUUCCCUCGCCUCAUGGCACUUGUGAUGUAAUUGCAAUUUUCAGUAGUCAGUUUUCCUUAUAUCAUUCUGAUAUGGCAGAUGAUUGAAUUCCAAACUCCUACUAUUUUUAAUUUAGGCACCCUUCGGUCUCAGUGCUCAUUCCAGCUCUGCGCACUGUGGGCAAUAUUGUAACUGGGGAUGAUUUGCAAACUAAGAGCUAAACUCAGUUGGCGAACCAUAGUAUAUGCAGCUCUGCAGAUUUAGGUCACAUGGAUAAUUAGCUGACACCUUGUCUAUUGCUGUUCAAGUUUAUCUUGAUUGGAAUGGAUAUGCAUCCUAAUUCCAGCCACAGAUAGGCAGUGGCACUAUGGUUUCCUUUUGCACACCUGGAUAUACUUUUUUCUUGAAAAUGUACAUCUGAAGUUCCAUUCAGACUGGUGUCAUGAAAUUUCAAUGAGUGAUCAAGCAAAGAAAAAAACAUUGUAUAAAUAAUUAAUAGUGUGUUGACUGAGAUUUAAUUUCUCUGUUAAUGACUGUAGUAUCAUUUAGUAUUGCCCAAUGCUUGGAUCGGUUCCUGAUUUUGAUCAAGGUAGCUAAACUGGAUCCAGGAAUAGCAGAUGUUCAUAUAACCCUUCUUUUUGGUGAUUGGUGAAAAUCUGGGAUUGCACAUGCAAAGAUCUGGAUAUCAGAUGAAAAGUAUCUGUAUAUAGGGUCAGCAAACAAUGAUUGGAAAUCCUUUAUUCAGUUCAGGUAUAUGAGCAAUUGGAUUAGAGUAAAAGAGAGGCGUACAGGAGGUCAAUCAGCUAGCAAGGAAUCCCCUUUCUGACUUGUUCACGGUAGACUAUGUAGAAUUUUUCCUUUUUGCAUUAUUCUACUUGGCAGUUAUGCAAAUGUUAGUGACAACGGUUGUUGCACUGAAUAAUAACACAAUGAAUAUGAAGUGCGAGAUUGUUCAAAAUCUAGAGUGCAGUAGUGCUGGUUGGUUUUCAAGCAACUGGAAGUCUGGAACUCAUUGAAAUGGUACAGUACAUACCUGCUGUGCUCAAUGGCAAUAUCAAGCUCAGAAAGGAGCAGAAAUCACUGGUGUGGACGUCCAAGACGCUGGCAUGAGACCUUCAGUGAGUAUUUGGUCGUGGUUCAGGAACAGAAAGAAACCGCAACAAGUUGGCCCGUUUAUCCCUUUUAUUGCUUUCCUUGGUAGCCUGGAAUUGAACUUCAUAAGAACGCAUAGCUUUGUGUAGAAAGCAAUUUAAGCUAUUAAUGAAGUUUUAUCCGCACGAAAAGAAAGCUAUGAAUGUUGUAUGAUCCGAGGAAGUUAUAAAAAAAAUCCUUGGAAGAGCAACUCGACAGUUAGACCCUUUUGUCAGUUCAGACAAGAAAAAAGAGUCUGCCUUUUCUACCUACAUGUCCAGACUGAGACUGUACCCGUCAUAUGAAUCUUGAACAGUGGAGAUGCAUCCUAAGAUGUUAACAGAGGCUAACUGAUGAGGACAUCACUCCUUUGGAUACAAACAAUAAUCCUCCACGGAAUGUUCAAGGUCCAAUCACUAGAGCUCGAGCACGACAAUUGAAUCUAGAGGUGAGCUCGUUCCUAAACUCCUCUUCAUAUGAUUAUGAGAAUAGAUUGCUACCGAAUAAUUAUAUUGUGAUUAGGAACCAUGGAGAAGGCCAAGGAAUACUUGGAGAAGGGCUUGGAGGCGUGGAGAACCAGCAAGGACAUACAAGUCAAGAGGGAGGCCCAAACCAACUGACCUCGGGUCUGUUUUUGGGCUCCAAGAGCAGUCUGCGCUAAAAUGGACGCCCAGGUCACAUAUGGACUCGGAUUUGGGUGAUCUUUACAUGGAUGGAAAGCUAAGAAGAUAACCUUUCAAAUGGCGCUGGUCCCAGGCCCAAAUUCAUCAGGAGUCAACGGGAAAAUAUUCCACAAGUUGAUGUCCAGAAUCUUUCUCAGUGUUGCGCCACUGUCUUUGGUCCUUUGGGCCGUGUAUCUUGUCUUGGCCCACUAGGGUUGCGACCAGGGGGUCUUGGCCGCCCCAAACUCCUCUUAUCCAGCCACAACUCCCCUCCUCUAGGGUUGGGUUUUGCUUAGUUCAUUUCUGUCAAGAACAGGACGCCGUUCUUCGGUUGUGGAACCCCACUCGUGAGUUGAAUCAAUUGCUUUCUGUGA